GUACGUACAAGCAGUGGGAGCACGCUUCGGCGUGUGACUGCGUACCUUUUGUAUAAUGGGUCAGCGACUUAUAUUCUGUAGCAAGGUUAACCGAAUAGGGGAGCCGAAGGGAAACCGAGUCUUAACUGGGCGUUAAGUUGCAGGGUAUAGACCCGAAACCCGGUGAUCUAGCCAUGGGCAGGUUGAAGGUUGGGUAACACUAACUGGAGGACCGAACCGACUAAUGUUGAAAAAUUAGCGGAUGACUUGUGGCUGGGGGUGAAAGGCCAAUCAAACCGGGAGAUAGCUGGUUCUCCCCGAAAGCUAUUUAGGUAGCGCCUCGUGAAUUCAUCUCCGGGGGUAGAGCACUGUUUCGGCAAGGGGGUCAUCCCGACUUACCAACCCGAUGCAAACUGCGAAUACCGGAGAAUGUUAUCACGGGAGACACACGGCGGGUGCUAACGUCCGUCGUGAAGAGGGAAACAACCCAGACCGCCAGCUAAGGUCCCAAAGUCAUGGUUAAGUGGGAAACGAUGUGGGAAGGCCCAGACAGCCAGGAUGUUGGCUUAGAAGCAGCCAUCAUUUAAAGAAAGCGUAAUAGCUCACUGGUCGAGUCGGCCUGCGCGGAAGAUGUAACGGGGCUAAACCAUGCACCGAAGCUGCGGCAGCGACGCUGAUGCGUUGUUGGGUAGGGGAGCGUUCUGUAAGCCUGUGAAGGUGUGCUGUGAGGCAUGCUGGAGGUAU
rnacentral:rRNA from 1 species